GAGUGAGCGGCAAAAGCUCAAAUUUGAAAUCUGGCACCUUCGGUGUCCGAGUUGUAAUUUGAAGAUUGUAACCUUGGGGUUGGCUCUUGUCUAUGUUUCUUGGAACAGGACGUCACAGAGGGUGAGAAUCCCGUGCGAUGAGAUGCCCAAUCCUAUGUAAGGUGCUUUCGAAGAGUCGAGUUGUUUGGGAAUGCAGCUCUAAGUGGGUGGUAAAUUCCAUCUAAAGCUAAAUAUUGGCGAGAGACCGAUAGCGAACAAGUACAGUGAUGGAAAGAUGAAAAGAACUUUGAAAAGAGAGUGAAAAAGUACGUGAAAUUGUUGAAAGGGAAGGGUUUGAGAUCAGACUCGAUAUUUUGUGAGCCUUGCCUUCGUGGCGGGGUGACCCGCAGCUUAUCGGGCCAGCAUCGGUUUGGGCGGUAGGAUAAUGGCGUAGGAAUGUGACUUUGCUUCGGUGAAGUGUUAUAGCCUGCGUUGAUGCUGCCUGCCUAGACCGAGGACUGCGAUUUUAUCAAGGAUGCUGGCAUAAUGAUCCCAAACCGCCCGUCUUGAAACACGGACA
rnacentral:rRNA from 1 species